GACGAACGCUGGCGGCGUGCCUAAUACAUGCAAGUUGAGCGCUGAAGGUUGGUACUUGUACCAACUGGAUGAGCAGCGAACGGGUGAGUAACGCGUGGGGAAUCUGCCUUUGAGCGGGGGACAACAUUUGGAAACGAAUGCUAAUACCGCAUAAAAACUUUAAACACAAGUUUUAAGUUUGAAAGAUGCAAUUGCAUCACUCAAAGAUGAUCCCGCGUUGUAUUAGCUAGUUGGUGAGGUAAAGACUCACCAAGGCGAUGAUACAUAGCCGACCUGAGAGGGUGAUCGGCCACAUUGGGACUGAGACACGGCCCAAACUCCUACGGGAGGCAGCAGUAGGGAAUCUUCGGCAAUGGACGAAAGUCAGACCGAGCAACGCCGCGUGAGUGAAGAAGGUUUUCGGAUCGUAAAACUCUGUUGGUAGAGAAGAACGUUGGUGAGAGUGGAAAGCUCAUCAAGUGACGGUAACUACCCAGAAAGGGACGGCUAACUACGUG
rnacentral:rRNA from 1 species